GAGGGUAUAGUUCAGUGGUUCUGUGCAUGCCUAGCAUGCAUGAGGUCCUGAGUUCAAUCCCCAGUGCCUCCA
rnacentral:tRNA from 1 species